rnacentral:rRNA from 1 species
UAGGGAAUCUUCGGCAAUGGGGGGAACCCUGACCGAGCAACGCCGCGUGAGUGAAGAAGGUUUUCGGAUCGUAAAGCUCUGUUGUUAAGGAAGAACGAGUGUGAGAAUGGAAAGUUCAUGCUGUGACGGUACUUAACCAGAAAGGGACGGCUAACUACGUGCCAGCAGCCGCGGUAAUACGUAGGUCCCGAGCGUUGUCCGGAUUUAUUGGGCGUAAAGCGAGCGCAGGCGGUUAGAAAAGUCUGAAGUGAAAGGCAGUGGCUCAACCAUUGAGGCUUUGGACACUGUUUAACUUGAGUGCAGAAGGGGAGAGUGGAAUUCCAUGUGUAGCGGUGAUGUGCGUAGAUAUAUGGCGGAAAACCGGUGGCGAAAGCGGCUCUCUGGUCUGUAACUGACGCUGAGGCUCGAAAGCGUGGGGAGCGAACAGG